AACGAACGCUGGCGGCAUGCCUAACACAUGCAAGUCGAACGAGACCUUCGGGUCUAGUGGCGCACGGGUGCGUAACGCGUGGGAAUCUACCCUCAGGUUCGGAAUAACUCAGAGAAAUUUGAGCUAAUACCGGAUGAUGACGUAAGUCCAAAGAUUUAUCGCCUGAGGAUGAGCCCGCGUAGGAUUAGGUAGUUGGUGAGGUAAAGGCUCACCAAGCCGACGAUCCUUAGCUGGUCUGAGAGGAUGAUCAGCCACACUGGGACGGAGACACGGCCCAGACUCCUACGGGAGGCAGCAGUGGGGAAUAUUGGAAAAUGGGCGAAAGGCUGAUCCAGCAAUGCCGCGUGAGUGAUGAAGGCCUUAGGGUUGUAAAGCUCUUUUACCCGGGAUGAUAAUGACAGUACCGGGAGAAUAAGCUCCGGCUAACUCCGUG
rnacentral:rRNA from 1 species